rnacentral:rRNA from 1 species
GAGCACGUAGGUGGGUUUGUAAGUCAGAUGUGAAAGCCUUCUGUUCAACGGAAGAAUUGCAUCUGAAACUGCGAGUCUUGAGUGUAGGAGGGGAGGACGGAACUUCUGGUGGAGCGGUGAAAUGCGUAGAUAUCAGAAGGAACUCCGGCGGCGAAAGCGAUUCUCUGGCCUAUUACUGACACUCAGUGUGCGAAAGCUAGGGGAGCAAACGGGAUUAGAUACCCCGGUAGUCCUAGCCGUAAACGAUGGGCACUAAGUAGAGGGGUUUU